UGAAGCCCUUGCCACACUGGGUGCAGGUGAAGGGGCGCUCGCCGGUGUGGGUUCGCUGGUGGGACACCAGGUUGCUGGAAUAUGGGAAGCCCUUGCCACCGUCACUGCAGAGGUAC